rnacentral:lncRNA from 1 species
GUGAAAUCAGGAGUCGUGAUUAACAUAUUAUGUGUUUUACGUGCUCCUUUUUCCAUUUUUAUGUUUACAAGAAGAAAUAAUUGGAGUUGAUUCACUUGUUAGCGUUUAUAAAGAGGGGCGAAAGAUACCAGAGACAGUCAAACUCAUAGAUAAGAAAAACCCUGACAAAGCCAUGGCUAAAAAAGAAAAAAAGACAAUUAGACAAAUAAAAGUACACAAGACACAACAUAGAAAACUACAGAAUAAGCAACACGAAUCCCACCCAAAAAACUGGGUGCGAUCUCACUUAUAAAUUCGAGGUCAAGAGAGUAUACAUAUCUUAAAUGCAUGCAUUACUUAGGUGUAAUCUCUAAUAACAUUUAAGGGGCGAAGGCAAACUCUAACUUAUUUUCCAAUGUUCUACAAUAAUUAUUUACUUGUGGUAUGUAACGGUUUCAACUUUUUCAUGACGAAACAAUGGCUAGAGAAGAUGACGGUCAUGACCAACGAAGAACUGAGAUCAAUAGAACCACACGUUGAUUAUUAAAAACAAUUCAACUGGUCGGGGAAAUUACAGAUCGGCUAGGAAUUAGAGAAAGUGGUAUGAUGUAUUGGUCCUAAUAUAUUAGAUAAGAUAAGAUAAAUUUUAUUUACCCAUUAUAGGACUAUAUGUAGUCAGUACAUAGUUUAUUUAUAUUAAACAAUUGCAAAAGACAAUACACAAGAAUAGAAAAAAAACGGGAAAAAAAUGAAAUAUAAAUUGAGUUAAUAAAACAUGUAGUCACGUAAACCAGUAUGUUUAGUGUUUAUUGGCCCUUCACUAGAAGCAGCAUCACAUCCAUUAUAAAAAUAGCUUUGUGAUUCAAGUCCUUCCUCGUGGCUGAUGCAUAUGAACAAAUAGUAUUAAUGUUCAUAUGUAGGAGUCACCAAGGGCAGGGGCUUAAAGGACACUCAAGACAAUACACA